rfam:Helicobacteraceae bacterium CG2_30_36_10 cg2_3.0_scaffold_1241_c, whole genome shotgun sequence.
GUAGUGCUUUCGUGUGUCGAUGAUUUCGUUGGAGGUACGUUAACUCUGCCGAGAAGUUGUCGCCGAUAGGAAGCUCUCUCUUCACCUAAAUUAGGCUUUUAGAACCAAGCCAAUGGCGAGACGGCUUCUCGGGC